rnacentral:rRNA from 1 species
UGAGUAGAGCGGCGCACGGGUGAGUAACGCGUGGAUUAUCUACCCAGAUAUUCGGGAUAACGGCGGGAAACUGCCGCUAAUACCGGAUACGCUCCAAUUUCGGUUGGGGGAAAGGCGGCCUCUGCUUGCAAGCUGUCGUAUCUGGAUGAGUCCGCGUCCCAUUAGCUUGUUGGUGGGGUAAUGGCCUACCAAGGCGACGAUGGGUAGCUGGUCUGAGAGGAUGAUCAGCCACACUGGAACUGAAACACGGUCCAGACUCCUACGGGAGGCAGCAGUGGGGAAUAUUGCGCAAUGGGGGAAACCCUGACGCAGCGACGCCGUGUGAGGGAAGAAGGCUUUCGGGUCGUAAACCUCUGUCGGGAGGGAAGAACCUUCCAGGUCUGAACAAGGCUUGGAACUGACGGUACCUCCAAAGGAAGCACCGGCUAACUCCGUGCCAGCAGCCGCGGUAAUACGGAGGGUGCAAGCGUUAAUCGGAAUCACUGGGCGUAAAGCGCGCGUAGGCGGCUUUUUAAGUCGGACGUGAAAGCCCUCGGCUCAACCGGGGAACUGCGUUCGAAACUGGGAAGCUUGAGUCCUGGAGAGGGUGGCGGAAUUCCGGGUGUAGGAGUGAAAUCCGUAGAUAUCCGGAGGAACACCGGUGGCGAAGGCGGCCACCUGGACAGGUACUGACGCUGAGGCGCGAAAGCGUGGGGAGCAAACAGGGAUUAGAUACCCUGGUAGUCCACGCUGUAAACGAUGGAUGCUAGGUGUCGGGGAGCGAUCUUCGGUGCCGCAGUU